UACGUAGGUGGCAAGCGUUAUCCGGAUUUACUGGGUGUAAAGGGCGUGUAGGCGGGUUUGCAAGUUGGAUGUGAAAUCCUCAGGCUUAACCUGAGAGGGUCAUCCAAAACUGCAGAUCUUGAGUACUGGAGGGGAUAGUGGAAUUCCUAGUGUAGCGGUAAAAUGCGUAGAUAUUAGGAGGAACACCAGUGGCGAAGGCGACUAUCUGGACAGUAACUGACGCUGAGGCGCGAAAGCGUGGGGAGCAAACAGGAUUAGAUACCCUGGUA
rnacentral:rRNA from 1 species